rnacentral:lncRNA from 1 species
UCCGAAUUGGCACCCGCUGCUGCAUUUACCUCUGCUGGUUUUGGCCAACGACAUUUCUUAUCUGCAUGUCCCAAUUACACAACAAAACGUGUUUACAUACCGAUGCGCCUCAUAUUCGAUAGCCUACACCCCCGCGCAAGCGCCCACCACUGUUCUUAUGUGCAGUCACUGGAUUCAGACUGCACGGGUGUGAAAGGAGAUGCAAUGAUGGCUACCGCUGCAGAAGAACUAUGCCAAUCCCCUUGUCCCAUUUCUGAGCGCAAUGUCACGACAGUUUCCAUCAAAAUUACGAGGAAAAACCAGGAUAAACCCUGGAAAUUGAGAUUAAUUUACCUGCAGUGUUAUUGUAUGUCAAUUGCAACCAUACUGGGAACUGGAAUCUUAGGACUUCCUGUCACAAUAGCACAUGCUGGACUUGUGCCUUUCCUGGUCUCCUUUAUAAUUGGUUUCUUUGUGCAGGCUCUCCUCAUAUACCUAUUUGUUGACCUACUCCAGCGAUGCGAAGUUGCCCAAAUUGAGUCACUAAAGAGCACAGAGACUGAGCGGAUUUUAUUACAAGACAUUGGGUUGGAGGAGCCUGCUGUCACUAACACAGAAGAGGAUGAUGAUGAAGGUGACGAAGCAGACACUGGCCUACUGCAGAAGGACGCAGCCAGCUGCCAGACACCGGAGGAGAAGCUGCACCCUAAUCUCCAUGUGUUGGGAGUCCUCUUCCUCAGCAAGCCCAUGAGCCAUGCCUUCAACUUCAUCCUGCUCUUCCAGUUUGUGUCAAUUGGGAUCAGCUAUGUCCUGGCUGGCAGUGAGGCCUACGCUGUGAUUCUAGAUCUGAGCCAUAUCUACGUCAUUCCUGCCUUUACCUGGACACUCUCUCUUACAAUCCUGUUGGCUCAGAUUGUCAUUCAGCCAAUCACAUCGCUGCUGACCCUUCUGAAAGGCAUCAUGCUGAUCAUCACAGUAGCCGUGACAUUUGCUGUGGGGUCAGAGGUUCAACAGGCGACCACGAAUGACUUCAGCCAAAUUGGGAAGCCUUUCCUAAUGGGCACGGUUGCACUGGGGGGGAUUGUCAAUGUGAUGCCUCUCCUGUUUUCAGAAAUAUCCCAGAACAAGACACAGAUCAUGUGGUUCAGAAGAGUCAUAUUGGGAGGACUUGCCACAUGCGCAGUUCUGAAUAUAUUGUGGUGCUGGGCUGUUCUAGAAAUUGUCCCGCAGAUGUCUAUACAGAGGGUUUUGAAGGUUGGGGUGAACACCACCAGCGAUAUGAUGUCUGAGUCCUCUGCAACAGGCUACACCCUGAUCUUCUCCAAUAUCUCCCUGGAGGCGUAAACAACUAAUAAUUUGCUCUGCCACUGGAACUGUCUGGGAGUUUGUUUCAAGGGAUGCAAAUGUGUGCAGCAAACUGUGAGAAGAAUCAGCCUCCUCAUCCUGGGAACGGAAAUUAUGCGGGCACAAUGCAC